CUGGUAAUGGUGUUUCAGUCUUAUUUCUGGCCAAGUUGGGACAGCUAAACAUGAAGAGACAGAAAACCAUUAGGCUGCUAAUCUUAUUCUUUCAGUCAAACCAAUAUCCAGUUCACAGAAGCAAGCGGCUCAGUGGAAUCAAGGUGCGGGAUUCUUUCCCCCUGGGUCAUUUCUCACUGACCAAGUACGCACUCUGGUUGGAGAAACAUACAGAACUCUUCAGCUGUGACAACAGAUGAUGAAGAAACCACUGUCCAUGGGUUCCAGAAGAAGAAAAAACACAUCCAGCUUCUGGCUCUACCGGCUCUGUUCCAAAACAGCUGCCUGUUAGAGGGGGUGAAACAACUUGGUACACGUUCUGACCUCCAAGUUCUUCAAGAUUUACCUGGACACAAAAGUCUCCUGUGCUUGUUUUGUGGAAGAAGUGGUUUUCA